GACGAACGCUGGCGGCGUGCUUAACACAUGCAAGUCGAACGGAAAGGCCCUGCUUUUGUGGGGUGCUCGAGUGGCGAACGGGUGAGUAACACGUGAGUAACCUGCCCUUGACUUUGGGAUAACUUCAGGAAACUGGGGCUAAUACCGGAUAGGAGCUCCUGCUGCAUGGUGGGGGUUGGAAAGUUUCGGCGGUUGGGGAUGGACUCGCGGCUUAUCAGCUUGUUGGUGGGGUAGUGGCUUACCAGGGCUUUGACGGGUAGCCGGCCUGAGAGGGUGACCGGCCCCGUUGGAACUGGAAUACGGCCCGGACUCCUACGGGAGGCAGCAGUGGGGAAUAGUGCACUAUGGGCGGAAGCCUGAUGCAGCAAAGCCGCGUGCGGUGUGACGGCCUUCGGGUUGUAAUCCGCUUUCGCCUGUGACGAAGCGUGAGUGACGGUAAUGGGUAAAGAAGCACCGGCUAACUACGUG
rnacentral:rRNA from 1 species